rnacentral:rRNA from 1 species
AACGAACGCUGGCGGCAUGCCUAACACAUGCAAGUCGAACGAGACCUUCGGGUCUAGUGGCGCACGGGUGCGUAACGCGUGGGAACCUGCCUUUAGGUUCGGAAUAACUCAGAGAAAUUUGAGCUAAUACCGGAUAAUGUCUUCGGACCAAAGAUUUAUCGCCUUUAGAUGGGCCCGCGUUGGAUUAGCUAGUUGGUGGGGUAAAGGCCUACCAAGGCGACGAUCCAUAGCUGGUCUGAGAGGAUGAUCAGCCACACUGGGACUGAGACACGGCCCAGACUCCUACGGGAGGCAGCAGUGGGGAAGAUUGGACAAUGGGCGAAAGCCUGAUCCAGCAAUGCCGCGUGAGUGAUGAAGGCCUUAGGGUUGUAAAGCUCUUUUACCCGAGAUGAUAAUGACAGUAUCGGGAGAAUAAGCUCCGGCUAACUCCGUGCCAGCAGCCGCCGUAA